ACUUUUUAUUUUAUUUUU
rnacentral:sRNA from 1 species